rnacentral:rRNA from 1 species
UGUGUGUUAGUGGAAGCGUCUGGAAAGGCGCGCGAUACAGGGUGACAGCCCCGUACACAAAAAUGCACAUACUGUGAGCUCGAUGAGUAGGGCGGGACACGUGGUAUCCUGUCUGAAUAUGGGGGGACCAUCCUCCAAGGCUAAAUACUCCUGACUGACCGAUAGUGAACCAGUACCGUGAGGGAAAGGCGAAAAGAACCCCGGCGAGGGGAGUGAAAAAGAACCUGAAACCGUGUACGUACAAGCAGUGGGAGCCUCUUUUAUGGGGUGACUGCGUACCUUUUGUAUAAUGGGUCAGCGACUUAUAUUCUGUAGCAAGGUUAACCGAAUAGGGGAGCCGAAGGGAAACCGAGUCUUAACUGGGCGUUAAGUUGCAGGGUAUAGACCCGAAACCCGGUGAUCUAGCCAUGGGCAGGUUGAAGGUUGGGUAACACUAACUGGAGGACCGAACCGACUAAUGUUGAAAAAUUAGCGGAUGACUUGUGGCUGGGGGUGAAAGGCCAAUCAAACCGGGAGAUAGCUGGUUCUCCCCGAAAGCUAUUUAGGUAGCGCCUCGUGAAUUCAUCUCCGGGGGUAGAGCACUGUUUCGGCAAGGGGGUCAUCCCGACUUACCAACCCGAUGCAAACUGCGAAUACCGGAGAAUGUUAUCACGGGAGACACACGGCGGGUGCUAACGUCCGUCGUGAAGAGGGAAACAACCCAGACCGCCAGCUAAGGUCCCAAAGUCAUGGUUAAGUGGGAAACGAUGUGGGAAGGCCCAGACAGCCAGGAUGUUGGCUUAGAAGCAGCCAUCAUUUAAAGAAAGCGUAAUAGCUCACUGGUCGAGUCGGCCUGCGCGGAAGAUGUAACGGGGCUAAACCAUGCACCGAAGCUGCGGCAGCGACACUAUGUGUUGUUGGGUAGGGGAGCGUUCUGUAAGCCUGCGAAGGUGUACUGUGAGGUAUGCUGGAGGUAUCAGAAGUGCGAAUGCUGACAUAAGUAACGAUAAAGCGGGUGAAAAGCCCGCUCGCCGGAAGACCAAGGGUUCCUGUCCAACGUUAAUCGGGGCAGGGUGAGUCGACCCCUAAGGCGAGGCCGAAAGGCGUAGUCGAUGGGAAACAGGUUAAUAUUCCUGUACUUGGUGUUACUGCGAAGGGGGGACGGAGAAGGCUAUGUUGGCCGGGCGACGGUUGUCCCGGUUUAAGCGUGUAGGCUGGUUUUCCAGGCAAAUCCGGAAAAUCAAGGCUGAGGCGUGAUGACGAGGCACUACGGUGCUGAAGCAACAAAUGCCCUGCUUCCAGGAAAAGCCUCUAAGCAUCAGGUAACAUCAAAUCGUACCCCAAACCGACACAGGUGGUCAGGUAGAGAAUACCAAGGCGCUUGAGAGAACUCGGGUGAAGGAACUAGGCAAAAUGGUGCCGUAACUUCGGGAGAAGGCACGCUGAUAUGUAGGUGAAG